UCUCCAAGCUAAGGGAGCAUGAUAUAACCCAAUUCAAGGAAACUAAGAACCUUGAUAAAAAGUUACAGAACUGCUAACUAGAACAACCGAUUUAGAGAAGAACAUAAAUGACCUGAUGGAGCUGGAAAACACAGCAUGAGAACUUUGCAAAGUGUAUAGAA